CCAGACAGCCUACGGGUGGGUCUUACAAGAUUGCAACUAUAAGUAGUUGGUAUGCCAAGUGGACUUGAACUAGAAUAGUAAACAAUGACAUCUUACUAUUUCCGUUGUGGACAUUAUGUUGGUUGCAUACUCAUGCUUAUUCAUGUUAGCAUAGCUUUCUUACUUAUGCAAAUCAUACUAAGUAGAGACAUCGUGUUAUAGCCAG
rnacentral:lncRNA from 1 species